rnacentral:lncRNA from 1 species
GGUAUACGAGGGGGAACGGUGUCAAGGCCUGGGGAGCUGGCAAUGGCCCAGCUGAAGUGCAUCUACACUAAUGCACGCAGCAUGGGUAACAAACAGGAGGAGCUGGAUGCCAUCGUGCAGCGGGCAGGCUAUGACUUGGUUGCCAUCACUGAAGUGUGGUGGGACCACUCUCAUGACUGGAGUGCUGCAAUGACUGGCUAUAGGCUCUUCAGCAGGGACAGGCAGCACAGAAGGGGUGGUGGUGUGGCUCUCUAUAUUAGAGAGUGUUUAGAUGUUGUGGAACUUGAGGCUGGGAAUGAUAAGGUUGAGUCCCUAUGGGUUAGGAUCAGUGGGAAGGCCAACAAGGCAAGCAUCCUGGUGGGGGUCCGUUACAGACCGCCAAACCAGGAUGAGGAGACGGAUGAGGAAUUUUACAGGCAGCUGGCAGAAGCCGCGAAAUCGUCAACUCUUGUUCUCGUGGGGGACUUUAACUUCCCAGACAUAUCCUGGAAGCACAACACAGCCCAGAGAAAGCAGUCUAGGAGGUUUCUGGAGAGCGUGGAAGAUAGCUUCCUGACGCAGCUGGUUAGAGAGCCUACCGGGGGAGGUGCCCCGCUAGACCUUCUGUUCAUAAACAGAGAAGGACUGGUGGGAGAUGUGGUGGUCGGGAGCUGUCUUGGGCAGAGUGACCAUGAAAUGGUAGAGUUCUCUAUUCUUGGCGAAGCCAGGAAAGGGACCGGUAAAAUUGCUGUCUUGGACUUCUGGAGGGCUGACUCUGAGCUGUUCAGGGCACUGGUUGGUAGAGUCCCCUGGGAGGCAGUUCUGAUGGGCAGAGGAGUCCAGGAAGGCUGGGCACUCCUCAAGAAGGAAAUCUUAAAGAAUCAGGAGUGGUCUGUCCCCACAUGCCCAAAGACAAGCAGAUGUAGAAGAAGACUGGCCUGGCUGAACAGAGAGUUGUGGCUAGAGCUUAGGAAAAAAAAAGAGGGUUUAUGAUCUUUGGAAAAGAGGGCAGGUGACUCAGAAGGAUUAUAAGGAUGUUGUAAGGAUGCGUAGGGAGAAAAUUAGAAAGGCCAAAGCUCAUCUGGAGCUCAAUCUGGCUACUGCUGUUAAAGACAACAGAAAAUGUUUUUAUAAAUACAUUAACAUAAAAAGGAGGACUAAGGAGAAUCUCCAUCCUUUACUGGAUGUGGGGGGGAACUUAGUUACAAAAGAUGAGGAAAAGGCUGAGGUGCUUAAUGCUUUCGUUGCCUCAGUCUUUAGCAGCAAGACCAGUUGUUCUCUAGAUACCCAGUACCCUGAGCUGGUGGAAGGGGAUGGGGAGCAGGAUGUGGCCCUCACAAUCCACGAGGAAAUGGUUGGCGACCUGCUACAGCAGUUGGAU